UAUAUAUAUAUACACAUGUAUAUAUAUGGCACAUGGGGGGCACACAUGCCAUGUAAUGUACAUGAAAGACAGAACAAUUCUUUUGGAGUCAGUUCUUUCCUUCUACCUUCCAGCACCUUGGUUCUGGGAUGGAACUUGAGUGCCAGGAUUGUACAAGUGCCUUUACCUGCUGGGCAUCUCAGGGGCCCGAUUUACCAUACAGACAUAUACUGCCUGUCAAUCACUCUGACCCCUUCCCCUUCAUCUCCCCUACACAGGUAAUAAAUCUUAAAACAUUUCAUGGCAUGUAUGAGUGUGUCGUGUGUGCAUGCUCAUGCCUGUGGAGGUGGGAGAACAGCCCAUGGGAGUUGGCUCUCUCUAUCAUGUGGGUUCCAGGGUCAAACUCAUGAUCCUUCUGCCUCAGCUUCCCAAUGCUAGGAUACACACAUGCCACUGAUCCCAGCACCAUUUUUUUUUUAAUUUGCAGAACAUCAUUAAAAAGUACUCAGGGGAGGGUUACGGAUGCGUUUUGUCCCCAACAGUAAAUUGAUCACAGGAGGUGGAUGGCUUUGAUCCCUGGGGGAAGGGACCCUCAGUGCUGGCUGGAAGGAGAGUUGGUCUGGAGUCUGAUAUUAGCACCUCAGCCAUUUUGCUAACAAAACCAUCUUGGGCAAGUCUUCUAAGCUGAGACACAUUUCCUGUUCUGUAAACUCAGGGAGGGAGGGAACAAGCAUACAAGGGCUAUACCUUCAGAGUCUUCCUGUUCUUUCCUGCUGGUUUCUGUUUCUCAUGAUCUCCCAUGUUACUGCAUGAGGGCCUGGGAUUACAGCAGUGUCUGGUCCAGGUGAGUGAGUGAUCCCCUCAAAUCAGGAUGCUUCAGUGGAAAACUGGAGGGCAGUGGUAGGGGUCUUCCAGCCUUGGGAGGACUGGAGGGCACUAGGUCUAGGGUAAAGGGGAAGACCUAUUAAGGAGGACUUCAAACAAAUGGUGUCAGUGGCAUCAGGGCUGUGUCAUGUAUUCCCAGCUUUACACAGUCUUAGCAAAGUACAUCAGAAAUGGAGGCAAAAGUGUUUUAUAAACAGGAAGAUGUGGUGCCUUAGCAGUGUGGCUAUGAGAGCUGUGGAAGCACCUAACAAAUGCUGUCCCAGAGCCUCCAGUACACUGGGCUUUGGGACACCCUCUACCUCAGGACCCCCUAACCCCAAUCUUUGGCACACAGACUGCCCAGGACUUGCCAUUUAUAGCCUACCCAGUCAUCAACCUUUCCUAUGAGGGUCUUCUGUAUAGCCACGUAGCCUUGUCCUCGGGACCAUGGUUCUAGGGCUGCUGACUGAGUAGGUGGUAACUCACUGGGAUGUGAAGGCAGAGAAGUGGGGUAACCCUCCAUUGCAAUCAGCAUCCCUGCAAAGGAAACCUCCUUUUAGUCCUUCUGCCACCACUAAGAGGCUGGAGGUUGGGCAUGGCGCCCAGUUCUGUGAAACCCUAGUCUCCAGCAUGGCAGCCCAAUACUCCUGCAUCAUUUUCAGAAUGAAAGAAAGGAAGAAUGGCUACGUGAACUGUGUGUAGGUAACAGCAGUUAAGUUCUCCAGAAAGUAGCUGCCCUGGAGGUCAGAGGAGAGGCUCUUUCUGGAAGUGAUCUUUUCAUACCACUGGAGGUGUUUUGAAAUAGCCAGAACUUCAAAUUCUGCUUCAUGCUUGGUCUCUGUGGUGAGUGAUGGAGAAAUACUUCCUCUGUCAACACUGGGCUCUGGGUGGUGUAGACACACAGAGGCUUUGCUCUUACUCCCUUCCCUGUCAGCAGUGACUUGGGGCUCAUGGGUCUGUGUCUAUCAACUUUAAGUUUGGAGGAUUGGGGUGUCUCUUGGAUGUGUUCUAUAUUUAGGGGCAUAGAGUGUCUAUGUGUGAAUCUUGCUGCUUCCUAGCAGGCAACUGAGGUAGACCAGAACACAUUUUCCCCAGCAGACUCUAGGCUAUGAGGCCCUAAAGCAGGACCACCUGAGGGUGAUCUUGGCAAGAGCCCACAGAGGUGGUUCUGUUCUAGGUGGAUACAUGGUGGCCUGGGCUGAAGCCAAGCUCUCCUCUGCUCUCUCUUGCUCAGUUUUCAAGUGUGUUUCUCCAGCUGGCCUCUGGGUUUGGGGGAUUUCUCAUUGUCUACACAGCAAACUCACAUCCAGGGCUGUCCAUACAGCGGUCCUGGUUGGUUUCUGCUGUCUGCCAUUGUGUUAUUGUUAGGGCAGGCAAGCAUGUGGGGCCACAGUGGAUCGUAUUUGGGGUGAUAGGGUUGCUCUCAGGACUGCUGGCCUAGACAGGGUCUGUCUCCUGAGCCGGUGGUGGGCAGGCGGAUGAAUAAUAAGAAGGUUCUUCAUGCAGGAAGCUUGUGAACCAGAGAGGGAGCGGCAGAGUCAGAAAGGGAAGGCAGAAGCUGCGUCAGGGGCUGUAGACUCUUCUCUCAGUAAAGACGGACUCUGUUUGGGGGCUGUGCUGGACACUGGUCUCUGUGGUGCUGACACUGCCCGUGUGGUGCCCUAGUGUCCGUAGUCAGUGUGCACUGGAGUGGUUGUGGCUCCUUCUCAGAUGCUGGCUCUGACUUGGUCUGUGAGCUUUGGCUGACCCUCGCUCACCCUCACACCCUUGCCGAGUGGCUUUUAUUCCUUUGACAGUAUGUGCGUCUGCUAGAACUCAGGCUAGGCACGGAACAUACUCCAUACGUACGUGGCUAGCGUACGAGAGGCUUCAGUUGGUUUGAUGUGAGUCUGGUCUACUUCUCUGAUGUUUUCUCAGCAAUCACCUCUUGUGUGAGCUUCAUCUUCAGGCUGCCUACCUCAGAGUCAUAAAAUGGCCACAGCAGUUCCGGGCCUCAGAUCUGUUUCUUUUCCUCAUUCUCCUUGGACUGGCUUAGGUCAAUUGUACACCUGAGCCUGGUGAGUGAGAAUACUUCAUGCUGACUGACUUUGGCCUGGGUUCUCUCUUCCUUAAACUACUCGUCAGCAGAUCAGGACCAGAUAGCUUGUCAGGGGCAGAGGCUAAGGGAGAUAACUCCAGUCUCUCGUGAUCCUGCAUGUGGCACCUGCCGGCGGGAGGAGGUGGGACAAGAUGGCUCCAGAGAGCACGGAACAGUGAUGUAGUCAGGUUCACAAAUUCUAGAAAAAUACUACCUCUGCAGUGAUGUGAACGCUGGGUUAGAGGGAGGCACCCACGCCCUGUGGCCUGUAGUAAGACAGCAAAGUUCAUUCACUUGAACUACAGUGGGGGCCUGCAGUCAGCGGAGCUGUGGCCCUUUACUGGUGUGAAGAAGGGACGCCCACGACUCAACACUGAUGUCUUUGUGCUGCUCAGUACUGGAGUCAGGUGCAGGCACCUGGGCAAGAAAGAGACUGUGUUCUCAGUGUGUGGAGUGACCGAGGGGCCUAUCCGUCCGUAUGCGUGAGCACUGCGGCCAUGCCCGCCCAGAGCAGAUUCAGCUCCAUCCUUCAUGACCGCCAGGGGAUGCCCAGGUCAUGGAGGAGAACUUGCUCUUUCUUCUCACCCCUCAUCUCUUUUCACUUUGGCUUUCAGGAAGCUCAGGGCCUCGUUGGGACUCGGUCACAGCAGCGGUUGGCAGCUCUCAGGUUUCAUCUGCUUUCUUCCCCUUUGCCUCGCCGACGCCCCCUUCUUCACUUUAUACUGCUCAGGAGUGCCUUCCUAUAAACUGCCUUGAAUUUGUUUGGAGAGAAGAUAUAAACAGUGUGAAAGAGAGGUGGAUGUGGGACUGGCUAGGGGGCCACUCGGGGCUCCAGGGCGCUGCCUCCUUUGCAGGGGAUGCUGGGACUCCAUACUUUUUGUCUGGGCUGAGCUGGCCGGGGACAUGGGGAUUUCCUGCUUUAGAAGGCCAGGCCUGGUGUCUCUGUUGCUUGCAUUUCUCACACUAUGGGUGAGAAAUUGCAUAUUGCUCUCAUGACGUAGCUUUGACGGAUGAGUGAAUGACACCCAGUCUUGGUGGCUUUCUGCUUCUACACACAAGGGGAUGGGAAGGUGGGUCUAAUUCAGACACCCGAGGGACAUUUCCUACAGUUAGCUUGUUCUUCAGAUCCCAUCAGAUCUUUUGUUUGUUAUUGGUUCUGUUUAUUUUGGACACAGGAUUUCACACUGUAAUCCUUACUGUCCUGGACUUACUAUUUAGGUGAGAUUAGCCUUGACCUCAGAAAUCUGCCUGCCUCUGCCUCCCAGGUAGGAUUAAAGGCAUGCGCCUUCAUACCCCAUGCCCUUUACUUCCUGUGUAUGUUCUGCCUGCAUAUAUUCACUAUGUAGGAAUGCACCAUAUGCAUUCCUGGUGCUGUCAGAGGCCAGAAGAGGACGUCAGAUCCCCUGGAACUGGAGCUAUACAUGGUUGUGAGCCUCCAUAUAGGUUCUGGGAAUUGAACCCAGAGCACUGUGAAGAGCAGCCAGUCCUCUAACCACUGAGCUGUCUCUCCUGUCUCUCAUCAGAUCUUUUCAAAGGACCAGUCAGCUCUUGCUUUCCCUGGACCUAAAACUCUCUGUAGCUCCCUGUUAUCACUAAAACACCAGGCAGACUCCAGGAUCCUGCAGCCCAGCCUGCCUUCCACGGUGCCCAUUGCUUCUCUCUUCCUCACAGUCUGUAGCCACCCCAUUCCCCACUCCUUUCCUUCUGGGUCAGCCCAUCAGCCUCUGCCUGGCAUUGUGUGCACCUCGUUCUGCUUCUGUCUCCAUUUCCUUCUUCUACUUCUCAUAGGCCUCCUUGCAGGUCAGAUCUUUUAAUUUACUUUUGUAAGACAGGUUCUCGUGUAUGCCUGGCUGGCUUUGAACUCCCUAUGUUGCUGAGAGAGAUCUCCUGAGUGACAGCUGUUUAUGGAGGUGGACACUGGGCUAAGCUUAGGCACUUCCCUAGCUUGUUGUUAUAGGACCUCUCUACAUAGUCCUAGCUGUCCAGACUUACCGUGUAGACCAGGUUGGCCCCGAGCUCACAGAGCUCCACCCGCCUCUUCCCCCAGAAUGCUGAGAAUGAAGGCAUGUACCACCGUAUCCCAGCACUAUAUCUGCUCAUGUAUGUAUGCAUGUCUCUAUGUACUACAUGUAGUGUAUGUAUAUAGGUAGGCAUGGUGCCCAUACACCUUUAAUUCCAGCACCGGAGAGGCAGAGGCAGGCAGAGACUCUAUGCAUAGAAAGUCACCCUGGUCUAUAUCGUGAGUUCAGGCCAGCUAGGACCACAGUGAGACCCUGUCUUUUUGUUUGUUUGUUUACUGACAUUAUUUUAUUAUUUUAUCUUCAUCAGUGUUUUGCUUGUGUGUAUGUCUGCGAAGGUGUCAGAAGCCCUGGGACUGGAGUUACAGACAGGUAUGAGCUGCCAAGUGGGUGCUGGGAACUGAACCUGGGUCCUCUGGAAGAGCAGCCAGUGCUCUUAACCACAGAGUGAUCUCUCUAGCCCAGGAGACCUAAUCUUUAAAACAAAAAAACAAAAAGAACCCCAUUUAUCUUUUUGAAAUGUUCAUGACCAAUCUUUGAACAUACGUACAGUCUUGGGACAAGCAUUGGUGGGUCUCCUCCUUGGCACUUGCUUUGUGUUGGGCAUUCGUAGGGUAUAGCGUACAGAACCAAGUGCUUGGAGAGGCAGCAGCCCCCAGAAGGUGCCACAAAGACAGGGAGACAGACUUUUCUAGACUUCUCAAACCCAAAGGCUAGAAGCCAUUCAGACUCCCAGAGGCUACAAGGAGAAGAAUGAAAGGCAGUAGUUAAUUGUGAUGUUGCUUCCAGGUAACUCAGCAACUCUGUGUUAAGUGCACACCCCUCGAAUGGAUGGACGCCUGUACAUCCAUGGCUUUGAGAUUUUCUUCCUGG
rnacentral:lncRNA from 1 species